GUAGAAUUCCACGUGUAGCAGUGAAAUGCGUAGAGAUGUGGAGGAAUACCGAUGGCGAAGGCAGCCUCCUGGGAUAACACUGACGUUCAUGCCCGAAAGCGUGGGUAGCAAACAGGAUUAGAUACCCUGGUAGUCCACGCCCUAAACGAUGUCGAUUAGCUGUUGGGCAGCAUGACUGCUUAGUAGCGAAGCUAACGCGUGAAAUCGACCGCCUGGGGAGUACGGUCGCAAGAUUAAAACUCAAAGGAAUUGACGGGGACCCGCACAAGCGGUGGAUGAUGUGGAUUAAUUCGAUGCAACGCGAAGAACCUUACCUGGUCUUGACAUGUACGGAACCCUCCAGAGACGGAGGGGUGCCUUCGGGAGCCGUAACACAGGUGCUGCAUGGCUGUCGUCAGCUCGUGUCGUGAGAUGUUGGGUUAAGUCCCGCAACGAGCGCAACCCUUGUCAUUAGUUGCCAUCAUUAAGUUGGGCACUCUAAUGAGACUGCCGGUGACAAGCCGGAGGAAGGUGGGGAUGACGUCAAGUCCUCAUGGCCCUUAUGACCAGGGCUUCACACGUCAUACAAUGGUCGGUACAGAGGGUAGCCAAGCCGCGAGGUGGAGCCAAUCUCACAAAACCGAUCGUAGUCCGGAUUGCACUCUGCAACUCGAGUGCAUGAAGUCGGAAUCGCUAGUAAUCGCAGGUCAGCAUACUGCGGUGAAUACGUUCCCGGGUCUUGUACACACCGCCCGUCACACCAUGGGAGUGGGGGAUACCAGAAGUAGGUAGGGUAACCGCAAGGAGCCCGCUUACCACGGUAUGCUUCAUGACUGGGGUGAAGUCGUAACAAGGUAGCCGUAGGGGAACC
rnacentral:rRNA from 1 species